UACGUAGGCAGCAAGCGUUGUUCGGAAUUACUGGGCGUAAAGAGUGUGUAGGCGGUGCUCUAAGUCUGUUGUGAAAUCUCCCGGCUUAACUGGGAGGGUGCGGCGGAAACUGGAGUGCUCGAGGGUGGGAGAGGUAAGCGGAAUUCCUGGUGUAGCGGUGAAAUGCGUAGAUAUCAGGAGGAACACCUGUGGUGUAGACAGCUUACUGGACCACGACUGACGCUGAGACACGAAAGCGUGGGUAGCAAACAG
rnacentral:rRNA from 1 species